rnacentral:rRNA from 1 species
AUUGAACGCUGGCGGCAUGCCUUACACAUGCAAGUCGAACGGUAACGGGCCUUCGGGUGCCGACGAGUGGCGAACGGGGGAGUAAUACAUCGGAACGUGCCCGAUCGUGGGGGGUAACGAGGCGAAAGCUUUGCUAAUACCGCAUACGAACUACGGAUGCAAGCAGGGGACCGCAAGGCCUUGCGCGGACGGAGCGGCCGAUGGCAGAUUAGGUAGUUGGUGGGAUAAAAGUUUACCAAGCCGACGAUCUGUAGCUGGUCUGAGAGGAUGAGCAGCCACACUGGGACUGAGACACGGCCCAGACUCCUACGGGAGGCAGCAGUGGGGAAUUUUGGACAAUGGGCGCAAGCCUGAUCCAGCCAUGCCGCGUGCAGGAUGAAGGCCUUCGGGUUGUAAACUGCUUUUGUACGGAAAGAAAAGCAUUCUUUUAAUACAGGAGGGUCAUGACGGUACCGGAAGAAUAAGCACCGGCUAACUACGUG